CUGAAAUUAGGGUUACAAAUUCGUCGCCGCAAAACCCUUGGCCUCCUCCGCCUCCAUAAAUAUCCACCGACGUUCUUCAUCUUCCUCACCUUUCUGUAGAUGAAUUCGUCUAUAGUUCUAAAUUCUCCGAUAUUCGUCCCAGCAGUUUCUUUUCGUAUGGUUUCAGUUUGUAUGUUUAGGGUUUAAUUUUGGCUAUUGAAGUUCAUCUGUGUAUAUUCCGAUGAAGAAGCUCUCCCAAAAUUGAUAGGAAGUGCCGUAUGACACUCCAAACCGCAGUGAGAAGCCAUUGAUACGACUGUUGGCUCCCAUCAGGCAGUGAACACCGACGCCGAUUCGUUUCUACCCUGGGGCGGUCUGGUUGUUGGAUCGUUUUGCUGUCCGGGAAUUCUCAGUCGUUUUCCGUGAUUCUCCUGUGUGGUUGAUUUGAAACGGGUCUCUGAGGAUUUUGAGGGGUAAUGAUCAAGACAACAGUAGUCGGCAUUGUUAGUACUUAAUUUGACUCAACACAACAAACGGAGAGGUCUUGAUUCUAUGGAUUAGAUCGAUUAGAUACAGGAAGGAUUGGAUAUAGUAAGGAUUGAUAGAUUGAUGUAGCACUUAUCCUCAAA